rnacentral:lncRNA from 1 species
GUUAUUGGGCUUACACUUAUUAAUAGACUUUAUUUGAGUGGACAUCUAGGUCUAAAACUACCAUAUAAAAAACUUGGACAAAUGAAGUAGGAAAUUUGCAUCUAAUAAACAAAAACGCAAAAUUAACUAACUAACUAAUUUUACACUCUCUUUCCUCUUUUCUGUUUUUUUUUGUCAACUUAUUACUGGACCACAACGGGCCGGCCCAGUUGACCCCCAUCAGCCUUACCGCAGGAGGUACGGAUCGAAUCCGAGAUGCCUGGGAGAUUGACGUGUCUUAGAAGCUCCGGGUCCUCUUUUCUGUUCCUAUCGCUCUAUCUUUUUUCCACAAAACUUUUUUUUUUUUUUGUUAUUUCACAAAUAACCCCCAAUAAAGUAACAAGAUACUUGGCCGUCCGCGUCACAGGUACACGUUGUCCGAUACCAAUGUCUACGUGGACGAUUUCAAAGACUUUUUGUCUUGUCUUGUGCGGGGUCAUCUUUAUUGAAUGAUGGCCCAAAGCAUUCGACACACUCAGAAAGUCCAAAACCGUCACGUGGGCAUGUGGGCCACUUAUCAAACCAAUUUGGCAAUUUGCCCAUGUUGCCAAACCAAUUUAGUAAUGUCUAAUCAAUAAAUCACCUUUAAUUUCACUAUAUACAAAUCACAUUAUAAUCAAAAUUUUGUAACUUAAAAAGCUUUUAUCUUGACGGCAGCGUAAAAUAAUUUAUCGUUUCUACAGUUUAAUAGAUUUCCUCGCUUAAAAAAAAAUUAGAUAUGUAGAUAGUAUAAACUAUGAAGGCUUGCUCAGAUACAAAACGAGUAGGAACAUAAUGAAAGAGACUUUAAAA